UACGUAGGGGGCAAGCGUUGUCCGGAAUCAUUGGGCGUAAAGCGCACGUAGUCGGCUUUGCAAGCCGGUUGUGAAAUCCCCGGGCUCAACCUGGGAACUGCAUCCGGGACUGCAUUGCUAGAGUAUGGGAGAGGGAAGCGGAAUUUCUGGUGUAGCAGUGAAAUGCGUAGAUAUCAGAAGGAACAUCAGUGGCGAAGGCGGCUUCCUGGACCAAUACUGACGAUCAGGUGCGAAAGCGUGGGGAGCAAACAGG
rnacentral:rRNA from 1 species